AAAAAUAUGAGGCAAGGCCCCUGCCUUCAAAGAGCUUGCAAGUUUUUGGGGGAGACUUAGGCACAAAUUAACCAACAUCUGUUGAGCACUUGCUGCUUGCCAGGACCCUGCCCUUCCCCUCGUGUCUUCCUCCCUUCCAGGACUCACCCCCUCACUUACCCUCCCCCUCAAUUCUCACAGCAACCCUGGGAGGUAGGCCUUAUGGUUUCUGUUUUGCAAAUGAAGAACCUGAGAUUGAAGAAGAGUAGAGAUUGGAGGAUCAGGUCCUGAGAGGUCCCAUGUGCUUUCCAAUAACAGUUCAGUAUAUUAGAAGACAGUAUGGCAUCCACGGCCAAGUACUACUAGUUGAUAGACUGGAUGCUGCUAUGGUAAUCUGCCUCAGGAAAAUGCCGGACUGUUGUUUGCAAGCUGGUUAAGUGAGCAAAUCUUGGGAAGAUUUCAA
rnacentral:lncRNA from 1 species